rnacentral:lncRNA from 1 species
UCUCUACUUUUCUUCAAAUUCACUAACAGUCCUUUAGAUGAGCGCAGCUCCACUGCCAACAAGAGCCUCCUCUCCCCUCCGACCUCCGCUUUGUCCUUGCUUUCUUCACUGCCUCUAGCUCCUCAGUACCUGAGUCGGCCAGCACAGGCCCAGGUCAAAGUCUCAGGACAACCACUUCAACUAGGGACACUGGGCCCUAGUGUAAGUGUAGAGUGUCUUGCAGUCUUGCAGCCCCACCCUGACAGCUCUCUGAAAAGUGGCUGUGAGAGUUACAGGAAGUCACAAUUCCAGAGCUGUUUAAACAGGAGUAGUUGUUAAUAAGCCCACCUUAGCAAGUAAUGUCACCAGUUUGUGGAUUCAGCUGUGGUUUGGUCCUCUUGUUGUGUAGAUAACCCUGUCACGUCCCAUUGACACCUCUCUGAGAGCAUUUCCUUUUUAGAAUGUUUGUUCCCUUGGUCCAGGCCUGGAACAAAACCACUGCCAUCUUUGCCCAUUUGGUAAAAAUCCUGUCAUGCUGCAAAACAGGAAAGAGUAAAUAAAGCAUCAGCCUGGUUCAGCUCAGUGAAAACAAAUGAGGAACUUCUUGAAGGAAUUUCUAAAGAACCAGUUAUAGAAAUAGCAGGCUAGGCUUCAUAGUGCGCAUCAGUAAUCCCAGCACGUGGGAAGCUGAGGCAGGGGGGUUGUGGGUUCCAGCCCAGUGUGGACUACAAAACAAAACCCUGUGUAAAAAAA